rnacentral:rRNA from 1 species
GGUUAAGCGACUAAGCGUACACGGUGGAUGCCCUGGCAGUCAGAGGCGAUGAAGGACGUGCUAAUCUGCGAUAAGCGUCGGUAAGGUGAUAUGAACCGUUAUAACCGGCGAUUUCCGAAUGGGGAAACCCAGUGUGAUUCGUCACACUAUCAUUAACUGAAUCCAUAGGUUAAUGAGGCGAACCGGGGGAACUGAAACAUCUAAGUACCCCGAGGAAAAGAAAUCAACCGAGAUUCCCCCAGUAGCGGCGAGCGAACGGGGAGCAGCCCAGAGCCUGAAUCAGUGUGUGUGUUAGUGGAAGCGUCUGGAAAGGCGCGCGAUACAGGGUGACAGCCCCGUACACAAAAAUGCACAUGCUGUGAGCUCGAUGAGUAGGGCGGGACACGUGGUAUCCUGUCUGAAUAUGGGGGGACCAUCCUCCAAGGCUAAAUACUCCUGACUGACCGAUAGUGAACCAGUACCGUGAGGGAAAGGCGAAAAGAACCCCGGCGAGGGGAGUGAAAAAGAACCUGAAACCGUGUACGUACAAGCAGUGGGAGCACGCUUAGGCGUGUGACUGCGUACCUUUUGUAUAAUGGGUCAGCGACUUAUAUUCUGUAGCAAGGUUAACCGAAUAGGGGAGCCGAAGGGAAACCGAGUCUUAACUGGGCGUUAAGUUGCAGGGUAUAGACCCGAAACCCGGUGAUCUAGCCAUGGGCAGGUUGAAGGUUGGGUAACACUAACUGGAGGACCGAACCGACUAAUGUUGAAAAAUUAGCGGAUGACUUGUGGCUGGGGGUGAAAGGCCAAUCAAACCGGGAGAUAGCUGGUUCUCCCCGAAAGCUAUUUAGGUAGCGCCUCGUGAAUUCAUCUCCGGGGGUAGAGCACUGUUUCGGCAAGGGGGUCAUCCCGACUUACCAACCCGAUGCAAACUGCGAAUACCGGAGAAUGUUAUCACGGGAGACACACGGCGGGUGCUAACGUCCGUCGUGAAGAGGGAAACAACCCAGACCGCCAGCUAAGGUCCCAAAGUCAUGGUUAAGUGGGAAACGAUGUGGGAAGGCCCAGACAGCCAGGAUGUUGGCUUAGAAGCAGCCAUCAUUUAAAGAAAGCGUAAUAGCUCACUGGUCGAGUCGGCCUGCGCGGAAGAUGUAACGGGGCUAAACCAUGCACCGAAGCUGCGGCAGCGACGCUGAUGCGUUGUUGGGUAGGGGAGCGUUCUGUAAGCCUGUGAAGGUGUGCUGUGAGGCAUGCUGGAGGUAUCAGAAGUGCGAAUGCUGACAUAAGUAACGAUAAAGCGGGUGAAAAGCCCGCUCGCCGGAAGACCAAGGGUUCCUGUCCAACGUUAAUCGGGGCAGGGUGAGUCGACCCCUAAGGCGAGGCCGAAAGGCGUAGUCGAUGGGAAACAGGUUAAUAUUCCUGUACUUGGUGUUACUGCGAAGGGGGGACGGAGAAGGCUAUGUUGGCCGGGCGACGGUUGUCCCGGUUUAAGCGUGUAGGCUGGUUUUCCAGGCAAAUCCGGAAAAUCAAGGCUGAGGCGUGAUGACGAGGCACUACGGUGCUGAAGCAACAAAUGCCCUGCUUCCAGGAAAAGCCUCUAAGCAUCAGGUAACAUCAAAUCGUACCCCAAACCGACACAGGUGGUCAGGUAGAGAAUACCAAGGCGCUUGAGAGAACUCGGGUGAAGGAACUAGGCAAAAUGGUGCCGUAACUUCGGGAGAAGGCACGCUGAUAUGUAGGUGAAGCGACUUGCUCGUGGAGCUGAAAUCAGUCGAAGAUACCAGCUGGCUGCAACUGUUUAUUAAAAACACAGCACUGUGCAAACACGAAAGUGGACGUAUACGGUGUGACGCCUGCCCGGUGCCGGAAGGUUAAUUGAUGGGGUUAGCGCAAGCGAAGCUCUUGAUCGAAGCCCCGGUAAACGGCGGCCGUAACUAUAACGGUCCUAAGGUAGCGAAAUUCCUUGUCGGGUAAGUUCCGACCUGCACGAAUGGCGUAAUGAUGGCCAGGCUGUCUCCACCCGAGACUCAGUGAAAUUGAACUCGCUGUGAAGAUGCAGUGUACCCGCGGCAAGACGGAAAGACCCCGUGAACCUUUACUAUAGCUUGACACUGAACAUUGAGCCUUGAUGUGUAGGAUAGGUGGGAGGCUUUGAAGUGUGGACGCCAGUCUGCAUGGAGCCGACCUUGAAAUACCACCCUUUAAUGUUUGAUGUUCUAACGUGGACCCGUAAUCCGGGUUGCGGACAGUGUCUGGUGGGUAGUUUGACUGGGGCGGUCUCCUCCUAAAGAGUAACGGAGGAGCACGAAGGUUGGCUAAUCCUGGUCGGACAUCAGGAGGUUAGUGCAAUGGCAUAAGCCAGCUUGACUGCGAGCGUGACGGCGCGAGCAGGUGCGAAAGCAGGUCAUAGUGAUCCGGUGGUUCUGAAUGGAAGGGCCAUCGCUCAACGGAUAAAAGGUACUCCGGGGAUAACAGGCUGAUACCGCCCAAGAGUUCAUAUCGACGGCGGUGUUUGGCACCUCGAUGUCGGCUCAUCACAUCCUGGGGCUGAAGUAGGUCCCAAGGGUAUGGCUGUUCGCCAUUUAAAGUGGUACGCGAGCUGGGUUUAGAACGUCGUGAGACAGUUCGGUCCCUAUCUGCCGUGGGCGCUGGAGAACUGAGGGGGGCUGCUCCUAGUACGAGAGGACCGGAGUGGACGCAUCACUGGUGUUCGGGUUGUCAUGCCAAUGGCACUGCCCGGUAGCUAAAUGCGGAAGAGAUAAGUGCUGAAAGCAUCUAAGCACGAAACUUGCCCCGAGAUGAGUUCUCCCUGACUCCUUGAGAGUCCUGAAGGAACGUUGAAGACGACGACGUUGAUAGGCCGGGUGUGUAAGCGCAGCGAUGCGUUGAGCUAACCGGUACUAAUGAACCGUGAGGCUUAACCUU